rnacentral:rRNA from 1 species
UAACGAAUCUUCCGCAAUGCACGAAAGUGUGACGGAGCGACGCCGCGUGGAGGACGAAGUUCUUCGGAAUGUAAACUCCUGUCAGGGGAAAGAAAGUUCUGAUCUACCCCAGAGGAAGAGGCGGCUAACUCUGUGCCAGCAGCCGCGGUAAUACAGAGGCCUCGAGCGUUAGACGGAAUCACUGGGCUUAAAGCGUGUGUAGGCGGAAGGGUAAGUACCUUGUGAAAUCCCACGGCUUAACCGUGGAACGGCUUGGUAUACUGCUUUUCUUGAGCAAUCUAGGGGCGAGUGGAACAGAUGGUGGAGCGGUGAAAUGCGUAGAUAUCAUCUGGAACGCCAAUGGUGAAGACAACUCGCUGGGGAUUUGCUGACGCUGAGACACGAAAGCCAGGGGAGCGAACGGGAUUAGAUACCCCUGUAGUCCCUGAGCGGGCUGGCAAGGCGCAU